CGGCUGCUGAGUAAGUGACACGUCUGCCCACAGCUCUGAUGCGGAGGUGGUUUUGUUGUCCGCUUGAGUGAACGCAGGCGUGCCUAUGAGGUGACACAGCAGCCAUUCCUGAGGGAAACCUUUGGAGGUUCUCUGAGUAUGGAAGGGCCAGUUAGGAGACUGAGCAAAGCCAUUGCUACAGAGAGCGAACAAGUGUGUGUCAUUGCCAAUGACAUUGCUGUGGAAAUGCAAAAGAGGAACACCACAUUCUAAGACUUGCUACAGAUACUGGUUGUCCACUUAGUCAUAAAGAAGUGGCUGUUAUGCCAGAAUGUUUUAAAGAAGAGUAAAUCAACCAAUCUGUAAACCUGUUAAGCAGCAACUGUGUCAUAUUAUGGAUCCUUGGCAUUUCAUUCUGAAGAUGAAUUGUCAUGACACUAGUUACUGGAGGUGAAGAUAGUAAACAAGAACAUUACAGUGUGAACCAGAUGAUUUUUGAGAUUUCCUACAUCAAAGGGCCGAAUCCGUCAUGUAUGAAAACAAAUGGAGCUGGGAACUUACAGCAGACUUGGCAAAAGUGUAUGGCAGUGUGGGAUAAACUGAAAGAAGGAUUGCUCCUGACAAACUAAAGG